rnacentral:rRNA from 1 species
GAUGAACGCUGGCGGCGUGCCUAAUACAUGCAAGUCGAGCGAACGGACGAGAAGCUUGCUUCUCUGAUGUUAGCGGCGGACGGGUGAGUAACACGUGGAUAACCUACCUAUAAGACUGGGAUAACUUCGGGAAACCGGAGCUAAUACCGGAUAAUAUUUUGAACCGCAUGGUUCAAAAGUGAGAGACGGUCUUGCUGUCACUUAUAGAUGGAUCCGCGCUGCAUUAGCUAGUUGGUAAGGUAACGGCUUACCAAGGCAACGAUGCAUAGCCGACCUGAGAGGGUGAUCGGCCACACUGGAACUGAGACACGGUCCAGACUCCUACGGGAGGCAGCAGUAGGGAAUCCUCCGCAAUGGGCGAAAGCCUGACGGAGCAACGCCGCGUGAGUGAUGAAGGUCUUCGGAUCGUAAAACUCUGUUAUUAGGGAAGAACAUAUGUGUAAGUAACUGCGCACAUCUUGACGGUACCUAAUCAGAAAGCCACGGCUAACUACGUG